AUCUUAAACAUUUGUCCUUGAAGGUACUGCUGCAUGCAAAUGCCAUGGGAAAAACAGGAGACACAAGCACAGAAGUCAACCAGGAGGCUUUUAAGGACAAGUAAAAGGAGAUGAAAACAAGAAAAUGACUGAAAUGGAAAUCUCAAAGGAUUCAGGGAAAAGGAUGUAAAGACUUGAGAAAGAAGAAAUGGAGAUAAAUCUUGAGGCUUUGGAUAGACAGGAGAUGUGUCAAGAUGACACCAUGAUUUCAGUAGUAGAAGAUAGUCCUUAUCACAAGCUACAGCUGGAACUUGAAUGCUGCUCCCUGGGAGAGAUUGUGCUGCAAACUAAAGAACAGCUCCAGAUUGUUAUCAAGGCAAGAUCCUCUAGCCUGAUGACAACGUAA
rnacentral:lncRNA from 1 species